AGCGGCCUUGGGAACUCUUACAUUAAGGGUGAUGAAUCUUGUGUUAAGAAACUCAUUGAUUAUUGUUUAAUGCUCUAUAUUAUUUAUGUCACAUUGAUCAUGAGAUUGUGGGAUCUAUACAAUCUAGUUGUUAUACUUGUGGAGUUCGUCUUGGACUCACACUUGCUAUCUCCCCCACACCUCAGGAGAAGUAAUGGGCUUGUGAUCAACCAGUCAGUUGGAUCCUGUAGAGUGAAAUUAACACCCGAAGUUUGGAGUUAUCUUCCACGGUUUGCUGCCUAAGGUUGUUUCUGAUUUAUUAAGUACGUUAUAUAAUUUAUGCGUUGUCCUUUGAUAUUACCCCUUAUUUGUAGCUAUAUGUGAGGCUUGUCUUCUAAAACUCACAUAUGGUGCAUAUCUGAUUUUGUUCUUAAAAUCGGGUGUUACACAAUCGCAGAUAAAUACGGUAUAAGCGCCACGCCUACACAAUAUCUAUCAUUUACCCAUAGAUCCGAUGGAUAAACGCUAUAUGAUCCUAUGCAUGUAUAUAGAUCCAAUCUAACUAAGCCAAGUACACAACUAUGAUAAACUAAGAACAAUAUAAUCUUAAAUAUAAGCAAGUAGAACAAUGUCAUAAGCAAUAUAUUGAAGUAGAACAAAGUCAUAUUCAUAAUAUUGAAGAACAAAGAUAAUUAGAAGAACAAUUAGAAGCACAAUUAGAGAUUUACCAAGAAUCCUCUUGACAGAUCCGGAAACCAAUCGAAGAUUGACUCCUUCUAGUUCUAAUCCUAUGUAGCUAUGCUAAUCUAGAUAUCUAAUUGAUGUGGUGGCACUAAUCUUGAUCAGAGGCUUCUUCUCCCUUGAGAAUAAUGAAUUAGGGUUGAGAGGCUCUCUCCUCCAGGGGCCAGAGGGUCUGGUUUUAUAGUCCCUUCAAGUGAAUAUGGGCCGUUGGAUAAAACCGACAUUGAUUUAACGGUUAUCCUUGAUCCUUUAGGUCGGUGGAGAUCUCCCACGAAACAGAGUCCUGAUUGGCCUCCAAGUCAGGGCGGGCGCCCAGGGAAACAGGGCGGGCGCCCUGCCUCUGGCCCCUCUCAGCCUCCGCUUGCUUCCCGUGGCUUCUGGAGUCUUCUAGAUGUAAGAUAAUUGCGCGGCACGUUAAUAUCUCUAUGUAAUCCCGACGUGUGGGCCUUUCUUCCGUAUUUCCUGAUAACCCCCUGCAGAAAUAGACAAACACCAAAACUCGUGGAAUUCUGUCAGAUAAAAUCCUAAGUCUAGAUGUUUAUUUCAUUUGGAUCCUUUUCUUUAUUUAUUUGAUAAUUAAAUUUGAUACUUAAGGACCGUCAACAAACUCCCCCAAGCUUACCUCUUGCUCGUCCCUGAGCAAGGAUAGAUUAGAAGUUGCUGCAAUACUUUUAAAAAAUGAUGGUACACAUGUUUUUAAAUAAGGUCUCAUCUCUGAGUUAGAGUAAACUGUCAAGACUUAAAACUUACUUACUUUACCUUUCACCAUGGGACUUGUAACCGUCACUUCUGUCUUGAGUAGUUAAAAGAUAGAACAGUCUAGUCAAGUGCCAUGUCUCUUAUUCUUGAUCAGCUAUAGCUCUAGAGUUUUUGCAGAUUUUCAAAUAAAACUCAGAGAUUCCUUGUAUGACUCUCUCAUAUCUCUCUUUUGUGGUAUUUUUAGAUCCUUACCAAGGCAGUGAUGGUAUAUGCCUUCUCUCAAUAUAUGUAGUAUUUGUGGUAUAAGGCAUAGUGACAUUGUCUUCUCUCUCACCCUACUCUAAUAAGGCUUUAAUAUCUAGAGCUCAUAGGUGGGAGAUAAAGUAUACAUACUUACAAGACAUUUAUUGUAUAGUCAAACCAUGGAUCCAAAGAAACAAAUCAAUAAGUCAAAUCAAGAUGUGCAUGUGUGGUGAAUGAAUGGUGUAUGGUGAUGAUGGUGAUAACAAUGGUGAAAGUCUAAUUCUACUUUUGCUCUUUUGAGAGGAUACAUUCCUUGCUUUUUGAAUAGUGAGAAUGAGAUGCUCUAUAUUUUUCUUUUGUCUCAGGCGGGUAUCUUGUACCCCUAAUUCUACUGUCGGACACUUGUCCAUUUUUCCUCUCGUCUCACUUUUUCUUUUCUUUCGGGGUUCCGGGCACUUGCCCCUUUUUAUUUCCUCGUAUUAUUAUUUUUUUUCUCUUUUUUUUUCUUUUUUUUAGAGCACUCAUCUCUUGAGAUAAUAUAGUAACAAGAUAACUUGAGCAUUUAUUUCACAGGGAAAAAACAAAAAUAUUUUUGGUUAUUCUCGCCCGGAUUAGGAGUAGAAUAUUUUUGGGUGAUUCUGGAGAUGGAAAUGGGUGGAUAUAUGUGGAUGGUACUUCCGGAGUAGAAGUAGCAUAUAUGAGUGAACCUGCAAGUGAAAUCUUGAUUUAACCACAUGACAAGCUCCUAAGGGUCUACACAGCUUGACCACACUCAAUGCUCAUAAGCAGUAAAUAGUAAAUGUGUGGCUCAAAGUCUAGCAAGCAUGUAUAUAUGGUUGUGGUAGGAAUUUAAACUCUCAUCAUACAGGAACUCAUCAUGCAACAUUUUAAAGAUUUUCAAAGAUAAAAUUCUCCAGAAUUCUAGCAUCUCUAGGAACAGAUAAACAGCAGCUCAACCUUCCCAUAUCGUAUCCGUUAACAACUUAGACUUCAGAUCAAGUUUUCAUCCCAUAGGUUUAGGUUUAGGGCAAGCUUUAAAUUAUAACAGUUAUGUCUAAACUUGAGAGAGAACUUAAAAUGUGCAAAUUAGGCAGAGUAACUAUUCAUCAUAUCCAUGCUUGAGUUUUAUUUAGAUACAGAUUAGCAUAGCCACUUUAUUUAUUUAUUAAACACACUAAGCAAAAGAUAUAUAUAUAAGCAUAAAAUCUUUAUUUGGUUUUUCAUAGUUAUAUUUUAAUAUAAUAUAAGUAUAAAGAUAGAUAGAUAGAUAGAAAUACUUAUCGAGAUAAAUGGGGGUGCUCUCCCCCAAGCUGAAUUUUAACGUAAUUUCUCUUGAUGUAGCUAGCAGGUGGCAGAGGUGUAUUUGAAAGUCAGCAGCAUUCUGACAUCGAUUAGAAUGUCCUCCGUCUGCUAGUCUACUUGAUUCUUAACUUCUGUGGAGCUCAAAUAGACAACAAAGCUUGUGGAACUGAUUAAGUGUUAGCAUAAAUAUCUAGCCUUUAUCAUGUUGAGACUCCAUAAUAAAUGUUACUCCCUGUUUUUAUAUUUUUAUUUUAUAAAGUAGAAAAGAAAUUUUAUUUUUAUGCCACCACAGUGAAUGUACUUAUGGGUUUUAUGCCACUCGUAUACUCACAUGGGGCUUACUAUUUUUUCACAUUUUUAUUUUUUUUAGGAUAGUACGAACAUGAUUAACUAAGUAAACUAUUUGAAAUAAUUGAAAGGGAAAGGAUAACUACCAAGUUUACCUCAUGGCAAGGCGUUCGGUGUUUUUAAGUCCUCCGAACAGGACUCUCCAUUUUCUCAAUUGUCCUGGGAUUCGUUGGGUGGCGUAGUCGGUACUUCCAGCAGCGCCUCCUCUUCAUGUAUAGUUAUCUUCUCUUUCCAUAUAUGACUCGGUGCUUCAGUCUCCUCUGGAUAAUUCUGUUUAAACUCUACAUCUUCUGACCUUACAACUUCUCCUUCAUAGUCUGCCCAUCCGUCCUUGAUGAUUUGCCUCCUCUGGUUGCGGUUGCGUCAUUUUCUUGCCUGCUUAGAUUCUUCAACGAUAUAGUCAGGGUCAAUAAAAUAACGGCGUACCUUCUGUGAGGGGAAGUGCAUAUGGACUUCUCCGGUUCCAAUGUAGAUUAUUGCUUUAACGGUGCUGAGGAACGGUCUUCCAAGGAUGAUGGGUGGAUUGUACUCAUUUUCUCCCAUGUCAAUAACUUGAAAGUCUGUGUAGACAAAAUGAUCGUCUAUUUUGACUGGGACAUCAGUUACUGUUCCUUUAACUUCUCGAAAUGUCUGAUCUGCCAUCUGGAGCUGAAUGUAUGUUGGUUUUAGGGACAUGGUUCCGAACAAGAGCCGAUAGGUGACUGCGGCCAUUAUGUUGACGCCCGAUCCAGUGUCGCAAAAUGUCUUGUAGAAGCUGUAUCCAUUUAUGGAGCAGUAGAUGCUUGGCAGUUGUUGACGGUCCUUAAGUAUCAAAUUUAAUUAUCAAAUAAAUAAAGAAAAGGAUCCAAAUGAAAUCAAGAUCUAGACUUAGGGUUUUAUCUGACAGAAUUCCACGAGUUUUGGUGUUUGUCUAUUUCUGCAGGGGGUUAUCAGGAAAUAUGGAAGAAAGGCCCACAUGUCAGGAUUACGUAAAGAUAUUAACGUGCUGUGCAAUUAUCUUACAUCUAGAAGACUCCAGAAGCCACGAGACCGAAGCGGAAGUGAAACGGGGCCUGACCCUGGGCGGCCGCCCAGUUGGUCAGGGCGCCCGCCCUGCCCCUGAGUCCAAUCAGGACUCUGCUUUGCGGGAGAUCUCCACCGACCUAAUGGAUG
rnacentral:lncRNA from 1 species